CCGGGGAGCGGCCGGGCCUGGACGGGGCUGGGACCGGUCCCGAACCCGGUCCCGAUCGCUAUCGCGAUUCCGGGUCCCGGCCGUGGAGGUGCUCAAGGCUAGGUUGGAUGGGGCUCUGGGCAGCCUCGGCUGUGUAAGGUGCCCUUGUCCAGCAGGGCGUUGGGCCGAGGUGAUCUGCAAGGGCCCCUCUGACCCGAGCCGUGUGGGGGUGUGUGGCAGCCGCUCCUGAGGCCGCUCCGCCUGUGGGCUGCCGGCGGCGGCAAAGCGCCCGCCCCGCACAACUCGAGUGCCUUUUCGGUGCUCCACGGCCUGGCGGAUCCCUCUUGUAGCUUCUUCCUUCGGCCCCUUCAGGCUCCUGGUCUUCACCUCUGCCCACAUUUUGUUUCCUCUUUGUUCAAAACUUGCAGCUUCCCCCUCUGGGCUGUCAGGCAGGUCACCUCGCGGAGGAGUCCAGUGCCCUGUCACUACCUGGCCCACAAAGGGAGCAAUUUCGGGGACACAGCGGCUUCUGCUGGGAAGCUCUGGGCCAGAGCUCCUUCAGCGCUUCUGCUGACACAGAGCAGGUGGAAUCCAAGCACCAGCGUGCCCUAUGUGCUGGUUUAUAUUGUGAAUAGAAGACCUGGACAGCAGUGGAAGUUCCACUGGUGCUGAAACAAUGUGCACGCACAGCAAGAGCAGAUGCAGCACGGAUCUCCUCACUGCUGGUCACUGAGCUGAGCACAGCAGGAAAAACCUCUGACAUAAUCCUAAACUGAUUAAAACAUAAUAUAUUUACUCUCUA